CAGCAGCCGCGGUAAUACGUAGGGUGCGAGCGUUAAUCGGAAUUACUGGGCGUAAAGCGUGCGCAGGCGGUUGUGUAAGACAGGUGUGAAAUCCCCGGGCUUAACCUGGGAACUGCGCUUGUGACUGCACAGCUAGAGUAUGGCAGAGGGGGGUGGAAUUCCACGUGUAGCAGUGAAAUGCGUAGAGAUGUGGAGGAACACCGAUGGCGAAGGCAGCCCCCUGGACCAAUACUGACGCUCAUGCACGAAAGCGUGGGGAGCAAACAGGAUUAGAUACCCGUGUAGUCCCUGUCUCUUAUAC
rnacentral:rRNA from 1 species